CAUCAGGACGGUACAUUAAACAGCCAGGCACAUCGUCUUCAGAUACUGUGUGUGGUGAGUGUGGUGAUAACACAUACUCAAAUGGAUCAUUCACAUCCUGAAAACCACACACACAGUGUGAGUUGCUGGGUCUUGAUGUCAUAAGAAAAGGAUCAACAUCUUCUGACACCAAAUGUGCUGAAAGAAAAA